ACUCUUUUAGUAUUAACUAGUACAACUGACUUCCAAUCAGUAAGUUUCAGAAAUUAACUGAAAAAGAGUA
rnacentral:tRNA from 1 species